rnacentral:rRNA from 1 species
CGCUGGCGGCAGGCUUAACACAUGCAAGUCGAGCGGGGGAGGUUGCUUCGGUAACUGACCUAGCGGCGGACGGGUGAGUAAUACUUAGGAAUCUGCCUAUUAAUGGGGGACAACAUCUCGAAAGGGAUGCUAAUACCGCAUACGCCCUACGGGGGAAAGCAGGGGAUCACUUGUGACCUUGCGUUAAUAGAUGAGCCUAAGUCGGAUUAGCUAGUUGGUGGGGUAAAGGCCUACCAAGGCGACGAUCUGUAGCGGGUCUGAGAGGAUGAUCCGCCACACUGGGACUGAGACACGGCCCAGACUCCUACGGGAGGCAGCAGUGGGGAAUAUUGGACAAUGGGGGGAACCCUGAUCCAGCCAUGCCGCGUGUGUGAAGAAGGCCUUAUGGUUGUAAAGCACUUUAAGCGAGGAGGAGGCUCUUUUGGUUAAUACCCAAGAUGAGUGGACGUUACUCGCAGAAUAAGCACCGGCUAACUCUGUGCCAGCAGCCGCGGUAAUACAGAGGGUGCGAGCGUUAAUCGGAUUUACUGGGCGUAAAGCGUGCGUAGGCGGCUUUUUAAGUCGGAUGUGAAAUCCCCGAGCUUAACUUGGGAAUUGCAUUCGAUACUGGGAAGCUAGAGUAUGGGAGAGGAUGGUAGAAUUCCAGGUGUAGCGGUGAAAUGCGUAGAGAUCUGGAGGAAUACCGAUGGCGAAGGCAGCCAUCUGGCCUAAUACUGACGCUGAGGUACGAAAGCAUGGGGAGCAAACAGGAUUAGAUACCCUGGUAGUCCAUGCCGUAAACGAUGUCUACUAGCCGUUGGGGUCUUUGAGACUUUAGUGGCGCAGCUAACGCGAUAAGUAGACCGCCUGGGGAGUACGGUCGCAAGACUAAAACUCAAAUGAAUUGACGGGGGCCCGCACAAGCGGUGGAGCAUGUGGUUUAAUUCGAUGC